AUUGAACGCUGGCGGCAGGCCUAACACAUGCAAGUCGAGCGGAUGAAGGGAGCUUGCUCCUGGAUUCAGCGGCGGACGGGUGAGUAAUGCCUAGGAAUCUGCCUGGUAGUGGGGGAUAACGUCCGGAAACGGGCGCUAAUACCGCAUACGUCCUGAGGGAGAAAGUGGGGGUUCUUCGGACCUCACGCUAUCAGAUGAGCCUAGGUCGGAUUAGCUAGUUGGUGGGGUAAAGGCCUACCAAGGCGACGAUCCGUAACUGGUCUGAGAGGAUGAUCAGUCACACUGGAACUGAGACACGGUCCAGACUCCUACGGGAGGCAGAAGUGGGGAAUAUUGGACGAUGGGCGAAAGACUGAUCCAGCCAUGCCGCGUGUGUGAAGAAGGUCUGCGGAUUGUAAAGCACUUUAAGUUGGGAGGAAGGGCAGUAAGUUAAUACCUUGCUGUUUUGACGUUACCAACAGAAUAAGCACCGGCUAACUUCGUG
rnacentral:rRNA from 1 species